AACGAACGCUGGCGGCGCGCCUAAUACAUGCAAGUCGAGCGAGAAGGUGUAGCAAUACACUUGUAAAGCGGCGAACGGGUGAGGAAUACAUGGGUAAUCUACCAUCGAGUGGGGAAUAACCAACCGAAAGGUUGGCUAAUACCGCGUACGCCUCCGAAUCUUCGGGUUCGGAGGGAAAGCUGCACUGUGAGUGUAGCGCUCUUUGAUGAGCUCAUGUCCUAUCAGCUUGUUGGUAGGGUAACGGCCUACCAAGGCUUUGACGGGUAGCUGGUCUGAGAGGACGAUCAGCCACACUGGCACUGCGACACGGGCCAGACUCCUACGGGAGGCAGCAGUAAGGAAUAUUGCGCAAUGGGCGAAAGCCUGACGCAGCGACGCCGCGUGGGGGAUGAAGGUCUGCGGGUUGUAAAGCACUUUCGGUGGGACGAAUAUGCGGCCGAAUACCCGGCCAGGCUGACGUUA
rnacentral:rRNA from 1 species